UUACGGCGUCAUCAUGUUGAAAAUACCGGUUCUUGUCUGAUCACCGAAGUUAAGCAAUGAUCUGGUCAGUACCAAGAUGAGUGACCAACUUGGGAAUAUCAGGUGCUGUAAG